rnacentral:pre_miRNA from 1 species
GUCACGAGAAGAAAGGAGUGCUCUAAGAGUUGCUCUUACAAGAUUUGCCUUUUUCUAGCUUCAAUAGGCCUAAUAAGAGCAACUCCUAGAGCACUCAUUUCUUCUCGUGA